AUUGAACGCUGGCGGCAGGCUUAACACAUGCAAGUCGAGCGGGGUGAUGGUGCUUGCACUAUCACUUAGCGGCGGACGGGUGAGUAAUGCUUAGGAAUCUGCCUAUUAGUGGGGGACAACAUCUCGAAAGGGAUGCUAAUACCGCAUACGUCCUACGGGGGAAAGCAGGGGAUCACUUGUGACCUUGCGCUAAUAGAUGAGCCUAAGUCGGAUUGGCUAGUUGGUGGGGUAAAGGCCUACCAAGGCGACGAUGUGUAGCGGGUCUGAGAGGAUGAUCGGCCACACUGGGACUGAGACACGGCCCAGAUUCCGACGGGAGGCAGCAGCAGGGAGUAUUGGACAAUGGGGGGAACCCUGAUCCAGCCAUGCCGCGUGUGUGAAGAAGGCCUUAUGGUUGUAAAGCACUUUAAGCGAGGAGGAGGCUCUUUUGGUUAAUACCCAAGAUGAGUGGACGUUACUCGCAGAAUAAGCACCGGCUAACUCUGUGCCAGCCGCCGCCGUAA
rnacentral:rRNA from 1 species